rnacentral:piRNA from 1 species
UGCUGGUGAGCUCAGCACAAGCUGCUGCUGU